CUUACACUUAAAGCGCAUACCAAGAGGCUCAUUCCGGGUUUUCCCACACCGUCGAAGAGGAGACACACCAGAACCCGCUUGGUCUCACACAGAAGUUGUUUCAUUCAUCGUAGCUGAGAACCACUGAAAGAAUUUGUUGACGUAGACAAAGGAAACUGAAUCUAGAUUUAUACAACUAUCACACUUGUGGAUUUAGAUUUCUGCUACUUAGGAUACCGCCUCUGUGCGCCGUGUGGAAUUUGCCGGUCAUGUCUGGACGAGUGAGUGUGUUUAUUCACACCGCUGGCCGCCUGCUGUGACCACUGCUGUCCUCCUUAGUUUCAAGGUGCCACACGCUUUUGAGGUGAAAGCCUGAAGCCUCAAGUUCACUCUGACAGGAGACGCUUCAUCGGCAGCCACCUACAGCACUCCUAUGUCUGACAGCCCCGUGAUGGAAGAGGCCGUCCCCUUGCAGACGGUACCCUUCCAGAACUCAGAAGGAAAGAAGCCCAGCAGACAGAUCAAGCUGUACAGGAAGCUAACUGUCUGCAGCAUUAUCUGUGGGAUAUCUUGCUUGGGCAUUCUGGCUCUGAUCAACUCUGUCAGAGCACAGGAGAAGAGGGAGACAGAUGUGGAGAGUGCUCAGAAAUAUUCCCGUCAGGCACGGAAGUACAGCGUCAUCGCCAUCCUGGUGUGGGUGGGGAUCCUGGUUCUCACCCCAGUCCUAAUGGCCUUGGUAUCAUACCUGUUGCGAAUUGCAGAGUGACGCAGUUUACAGCUCAGUCCACAUUCCAGGCGGGCCGCUUUCGUCCGACUGGCCGUGGAAAUCCAGUUCCUAGGGCCAAGGCUCCUGCCCGCCUGCCUUCUAGUAACAGUAUAACAGGUCAGACAUGGUGCCUAUGACGACUGCGCCGGCAGGCAGUCAAAUCCCAUUCAUACACUGAUUAAUUUUUGGAUGACAGGGCCAUUGAAAAGCAUACACUUAAGAAUGAUUCUAAAGAGUGCUCGGGGAUUUUGGUUUAAUGGUCGGGUCCUGUGUAGGCUCAAGAAAUGCAUCAAGAGGCAAGCAUCCUAGUAGAAACUUUUGCAUUAAGUGUUACUCGUAUCUUAAAUUAUAUACUGUUUCUUGGGUAAGUCUGACUUAAUUUAAGUUAUGGAGAAGAAAUUGUUACACUGUAAAUUUUUUACUUGAUACAUUUUUUUGAAUUUUAUAUUUUAUGUACUUUUAUUUACUGUAAAAUGUUUUAUAAUAAAAUUUGACAUACCAAA